rnacentral:lncRNA from 1 species
UUCUUAAUCACCAAAAACUCAAUGCAAACUCAAUAUCCUUCAGUAAGUGAAUGAUAAACUGUGGUACAUCCAGACAAUGGGAUGUGAUAUCAUAAAUACUAAUGUGUUAUUAAACCACAUAGAGAGAUGAGUCUUAAAUUCAUAUUGCUAAAUGAAAAAGCUAGUCUGAUAAGUCUACCCACUGUAUUAUUCCAUUUAUAUGACAGACUAAGAGACAAAACUAUAAAGACAGAAAACAGAUCAAUGGUUUUUCAUGAGUUCAGAGGGAGUUUCACAUACAGUCACUGAAGCACAGGGGAUGUUUUUUAAAGCAGUGACACUAUUCUGCAGGGCAUUGUAAUGGUGGAUAAACAACACUGUGCAUUUGCUGAAAUCUAUAGAACUUCACAGCACAAACAAUAAACCUUAAUGUAUGCAAAUUUAAACAUAAUCUUUUAAGAGAUUAAGGGAUCCAAGAAUUGAAUGAAGAAUGUAACAAAAGAAUCUCACUUUGUAACAAAUGAAUGAAACCACGUCACUGACGGGGGAGGGGUGUAAAGUUUGUGACCUAAGUAAAUCUGGAAAUGAGUGGAGUCUGUAAGACUUAAGGCAAAAGAACUCUAACUGAUAAAGUUGUUUCACAAGAAGAUAAGAAUUUUGACAUUUGCACCUAGGAAAUGUUUGUCUGGCUCCUCUUAUGUUGUAGAAGCGCACUGCUGCCUACAUCCAGGUCUUGAGCAGUGACAGCGCCAAUGAUGGUCCCUACCGGAGUGUCUUCAUAAACCUCCAU